UUCUUAUAGAAAUAAUUAUAAGUAAGACCUGCUCAAUGAUAUUAAAUAGCUGCAGAAACUGUACUAAGGUAGCAUAAUCAAUAGUUUUUUAAUUGAAAACUUGAAUGAAUGGUUAAAUGAACAACUAGAGGUAUCAUAAAAAUAAAUUGAAAUUAGAUUUUUUGUUAAAAUACAAAAGUAAAUUUUAGGGACAAGAAGACCCUAUAAAGCUUUAAAAUUUUAUUGAGAGAAAAUGAAUUUUUAAAUUGGGGAAAUAGGAUAAGUUUAAGAAAUUUAUUUUUGAUCCAAAAUUUUUGAUUAAAAGAAAAAGUUACUUUAGGGAUAACAGCAUAAUAAUAAAAUUGAAGUACAAAUUUGAUUUUAUGAUUGUGACCUCGAUGUUGGAUUAAUUUUACUGUCAGGAGAAAAAAUUUGAAUAAGUUAGUCUGUUCGACUAUUGAAAAAUUACA
rnacentral:rRNA from 1 species